rnacentral:rRNA from 1 species
GGAAGUAAAAGUCGUAACAAGGGUUCUCCGGUAGGUGAACCUGCGGAAGGAUCAUUAU